rnacentral:rRNA from 1 species
CAUUAAGUUAUCCGCCUGGGGAGUACGGCCGCAAGGUUAAAACUCAAAGGAAUUGACGGGGCUGCACAAGCGGUGGAGCAUGUGGUUUAAUUCGAAGCAACGCGCAGAACCUUACCAGCGUUUGACAUGGUAGGACGACUGGCAGAGAUGCCUUUCUUCCUUCGGGGACCUACACACAGGUGCUGCAUGGCUGUCGUCAGCUCGUGUCGUGUCAUGUGUGCUAAGUCCCGAACGAGCGCAACCCUCGACUUUAGUUACCAUCAUUAAGUUGGGUACUUUAAAGUACCGCCGGUGAUAAGCCGGAGGAAGGUGGGGAUGACGUCAAGUCCUCAUCCCACGCGCUGGGUACACCGUGCUACAAUGCAAGUCAGUGGGCAGCAAUCCCGCGAGGGUGAGUAAUCUCCAAAACUUGUCUCAGUUCGAUUUCUCUGCAACUCGGAGCAUGAAGGCGAUCGCUAGUAUCGCGAUCAGCAGGCU